UGGGGAAUAUUGCACAAUGGGCGCAAGCCUGAUGCAGCCAUGCCGCGUGUGUGAAGAAGGCCUUCGGGUUGUAAAGCACUUUCAGCGAGGAGGAAGGUGGUGAGCUUAAUACGCUCAUCAAUUGACGUUACUCGCAGAAGAAGCACCGGCUAACUCCGUGCCAGCAGCCGCGGUAAUACGGAGGGUGCAGGCGUUAAUCGGAAUUACUGGGCGUAAAGCGCACGCAGGCGGUUUGUUAAGUCAGAUGUGAAAUCCCCGGGCUCAACCUGGGAACUGCAUUUGAAACUGGCAAGCUAGAGUCUCGUAGAGGGGGGUAGAAUUCCAGGUGUAGCGGUGAAAUGCGUAGAGAUCUGGAGGAAUACCGGUGGCGAAGGCGGCCCCCCUGGACGAAGACUGACGCUCAGGUGCGAAAGCGUGGGGCAGCAAACAGGAUUAGAUACCCUGGUAGUCCACGCUGUAAACGAUGUCGAUUUGGAGGUUGUGCCCCUUGAGGCGUGGCUUCCGGAGCUAACGCGUUAAAUCGACCGCC
rnacentral:rRNA from 1 species